rnacentral:lncRNA from 1 species
GAGAGAGAGAGAGAGAGAGAGUCCGGCUGGGAUAAUAUCGAUAGCGGCAAGCACUUGGUGCUACCAAGUUUUCGCCGUUAGAUUUAACUCUUUGACUAUUUUUCACCCGUUAGAUUAUACUAUUCAACCAAUAACUCACUCAAUUCUAGGGGACCCAUAUCAUCCUAACCGUACAUUUCUUAAUCCAAUGGCCGAAAACCUAAUAGCACCAAUAAUUUGGUGCUAUUGAUAGCAUCAAAAAAUUAUUACAGAAGUAAAUUUGCCUUAUAUUUAAAGUUACACUGUCCAUCUGCUAUAGUUGAAGAUGUAGACAAUUUGAAUGCAAUUUCAACUACUGCAGUUGGACCUUCACGCAUUCAACUCCAACUGUAACAAUUGAAUUCAAAUGUAUUAAAUUAAAAGUCGAAUAGCGACUGCAUAACACAAAUUGUAACUAUGUGCAAUC